UGCAUAGAAAAAAUAAAUCAAGUGUUGUGUUUUUUUUUGUAUCAAACAGCUACCAAAUUAUCGUUAACCAAGGCGACAUCGUGUGCUCGCUGGUGACGGUGGUCGUCGUUGUUGUUAAAAAAAAACGUUGUCUAGCCGCAUUUGAAGCAGAUCAGUUUACAUCGCUUCGGGAAAGAUGCACCAGAUGAACUACUGGCAGCAUGACAAAUUUUCCUGUUCAUGUUCCUCGCUUGCUCUAGUGUUGAUGUCUCUCAGAAAGGGAAUGGCGUUGAGGAGGGAACGGUACCAACAUACCCAUGUGCGGUGAGUUUCGCGCUUGCGUUUAUCAUCUGACCGAGAAUUCAGGCCCAACGCAUGUGCUCGCUUUAUCUCUUCUCAGAUUCCCUGUUCUGUCUUGAAAGCGAAACAGGAAGCACAUUGCUUCAUUUCCGAUCUGCUUUUUUUUGUCUUAUGAAUAGUUCCUGCGGUAGAAUUCUAUUCCAACAACAUAGAAAGGGAAAGAUAAUUCAAAUCAAAAACUCAUCCCGAUCUUCUGAAGAUUGUUUUUUUUUUAUUUGCGAACAAACUUCCACGCUUUUGUCUCAUCGUAACGCUUUUAAGAUGAAGUUGUUUAUUCUCCACAACUCAUCUUCAUCUUCAUCAGUUCAGCAAGAUAAGCUGAGGGAACAGGUACGUCCAGGUGGAUGUGGAUAUGCUUUCCUGAAGAGUUGCUUUAACACCGCAAAACACAACCACAUGAAAUCAGAAAAUAGGAUUGAAUGUCCUUCUUCACAUACAAAGGAAGAACCUGCUAGAUGAUGCAGGGAACAAAAGCGAUCAGAAUAUCCUGUCUGUGUGCUGUUUAAGGCACUAACUCAACAAGACCUACGCAUGCAUUUUUUUUCUUCAUCCCCCAUUCGUACCGGAAACGAUGCGGCUGAGAAGCUUUUUUAAUGAUAACGAACGAUCACGUGUUUUUGUAUCUUUAGACGGGCUCGUACGAGAUUUGGAUGCAAUUUGCACUCUUAGUGCUUUUGGGUUGUGUUUGUGACGUGCUUGUUUGUGUUUUGCAAAGAUCCCAAGAAAUGGUGAAACUAGCUACAAAAUAAAUACGGCAACUGUAAUAAACUCAUUCUUCAAUGUAAUGUUUGAAGAGGUCGCCGAAAGGAGAUCCUUUUUUCCACCGUUAAGCGACCUACAUUUUGUGUAACUUUUUCAUCACCACUUGUUCUGAUAAAUCCUCAACAAAAAAAAACAGAUCUUUACAAGAGAUAUUCAAAGCGUCUCAUAAAACCUUCAAAAAUACACCAUUUGUAAUAUCUGCAUCUAAUUAUUGUGCCUAAUCUGAAGCAGAUUUGCAAAGCAAAACUUGCCCAUUAAGCGAGUUCAAGUAAACCGCUCAUAAAGUCAAAAAAACCCAGCGGUGGGUUAUUCAUUUAUUUUGGCAAACAGAACACAUAAAUCCAUAACCCGGUACCUAUCGUCCUGUAGGUGGUAGUUAACUUAUCGCAAUCGUAGCGUCCAAAAACCGUGGACAUAAAAUAUUUCAAUGCUCGUAAAGAACGAACAUAUUUCACCUAGAAGCCAAAGAACUUCGGGGCUGGGUUAAGGCAAUAUCCUUUCGGGCUCAUCUACAGUGAAGAAUCGUAAAAACAAAGCAACAGUUCUUAAAACGUCGCAGAAACGUCGGUGGAAUCUCCGCGUAAAACAGAAUGGUACUAAAUUUCAUAUUCACCACACCCGGUCCACGAUACUUCGGCGGUACACAAUUCUAAUCAGGUAUGUUUUGUGAUACUCAUUUUUCUUUCCUUUUCUAUCAAAGGGAAAACCCUUCUUAGCAAAAAUGGCUACCCGGUUCCCCCCAAAAAGGGGCUCAUAAACUGUAACGAGAAAGGAAAUCUGUCACGUAAAAAAAUGACCCAUCGUGUGGUGAAUGGUGUUAUUUUUAAUAUCGCACUUCGUUUGGCCCGUUGUAUGGUGCCGCGCUCAUUUGCGUACGAAACCAACUACACAAACAUACAUGGCACUGAAAUGGCCAAAACGGGAGCGCAAAAAAAAAGUUCCCAACCAUACCGAGGCAAAAUUAAUCGUCCACACACCGUGGUUAAUAAUCAUCGAAGUAUUUGCACGACCAAUGUGGACCCACUAUAACUCUAUUACAUUUUCCCUUUGCAUCAGUUUUCCACCCGCGUUGGGGAAUUGAGGAUUUUAAUAUUGAACAAGCACGCUUUCAUACAAGGGAGAGAAGUACAUAAACAGCCCUUACAAAUAAUCCCACCUUCUACAGCCCAUCGAAACAUGGACAACCACCCCGCAGAAAGGUUCCGCGAAAAAUCCCAAUUAUUCAAUCAUAAAACAACGACGAAAUGGCCGGGAAAAGAAAAUAUCUUUCCACCAUCCCCGUACGCAUCCAACCCCCGGUACGGGUCGGUAUGUUUUAGUUCGAGGGAGUAUAAUAGAACGAGGAUCGUUUCGGUGGCAUUUUGCGCACCCCCCCCCAAAAAACACACGAAGCUAACGAUCAAAUUUAUGCAAAUCUGAUAACGUAGUCAGGGUAUUGUUGCACGAUUAAAAGAAUCACAACCAUUGGAGCAUGAUUAGAUUUGCUUGCCCGAUGGGGAAGGUAAAGGUGUUUUUGUUUUUUUUUGUGGAGGAAAAAGGAGCUUUCCAUUUCAUUUUCCGAAACGAUUCUGGCUUUGGUUUAUUGGUUAAAUGGCGACCUGUUUUGCUUGACAGCGACCGCACACACACACAAAAUCGCGUAAAACAGCAAACUGUUUAAUCAUAAUUAAUUGAAUUCUAUAAUCAUGUUGUGGGCCAACCAUAAGCCCACCCGCGUGUGGGUUGGGUAAGGUUUCGUGAGCGAUAAGAAAUUGAAAUUCUCGCCCAAAUAUACACACUAAUCGCACGCAAUAGCUUUCAAGCUGAUGGCAAACAUCCUCUUAUCUUUGACGGGACGGUUUUAUUAGACGA